CAGGAAUGUAUUUAGCUGUGGAGCCAUGUUGUUUCCAGAGUAUAAACUGAGGAGCCUGAAGGUCAGAAUGAUGUUUGUACCAGUGGAGCCGAACAUAACU